rnacentral:sRNA from 1 species
CUUCUGCCACUUGGACAUCAUCUGGGUGAACACUCCUGAAUUCAAGUGCUGAGGCUCAGAGAGCUUAAGCGCCUUCCCCAAGAUCACACAGACAGACAGCUCCUUACGGCCUGGGAAACCCGCCAAGACGCCGGCGCCGCUCCCUGCCAAGGCGCUGUCAGUGCUCCAGUGCCAGGGACCCCGCCUGUGCCACCUUCUGCCUUCGAAGGCCCUGGACUGAAGCCGGGGCAGUCCCAAGCCGGAAGUCCCCUGCAGACGUGUUCCAGACUGGCAAGACAGGGGCCACUACAGGAGAGCUUCUCCAAAGGCUGAGGGACAUUUCCACAGUCAAGAGCCUCUUUGCCAAGCGACAACAGGAGGCC